rnacentral:rRNA from 1 species
UACGGGGGGAGCAAGUGUUGUUCGGAUUUACUGGGCGUAAAGGGCGCGUAGGCGGCCAGCACAAGUCAGUUGUGAAAUCUCCGAGCUUAACUCGGAAAGGUCAACUGAUACUGUGCGGCUAGAGUGCGGAAGGGGCAACUGGAAUUCUUGGUGUAGCGGUGAAAUGCGUAGAUAUCUGGAGGAAUACCGGUGGCGAAGGCGGCAUCCUGGACCGGCAUUGACGCUGAGGAGCGAAAGCUAGGGGAGCAAACGGG